CAAAAUUAAUAUAUAUUAUAAAAAGAAGUAAAAUUUUAAUGCCAUAUAAAAAAUAAAUAUCACAAAACAUAAGGCUUAGUAUAAAAUCUUCUGUUUUAUUGUGGGCUUAUUACUCAACCAAGUGAAACCAGGUGCUCUGCAGGGUGCAGCUUUAUAAGACCGCAGAAGUCGAACCCUGAGUGAACAGUUGGGGCAAGUAUGGACACAACAUUCAAGCUUGAUACAGCUCUGAAUUUGGAUUGCGAUAAAAUUUGACAUAAUAUGAGUUUCUGACACAAAACAAAUGUCAAGAUCUUACAAAUCUAUUGCGAAAUAUUGUGGAAUUUGAGAAAUUUGAAGAAAAAAAAAAUGACAACAACUAUCACCCCCCUUUUUUUUGCAAUGUGUCCAAAACCUGACAUUUCUUUAUUCAUAAUAUACAAGUAGUAUUAGGGAGGUAAAUCCAAACAUACCCAAGAUUGUGUGUUAUAAAUGUUUCAGAAUAUCUCCCUUACACUGCUUUUAAAUUGUCUGAAUUGUC
rnacentral:lncRNA from 1 species